GGCAAGAUGGCCGAGUGGUUUAAGGCGUCGCACUUAAGAUGCGAUCUCGUAAGAGGCGCGGGUUCGAACCCCGUUCUUGCCA